UAUUCCUUCCCACUAAAAGUGAAAAAGUUUUGCGUGUAAAUGAACUUAUACUUUGCAACUUUUUGUUGCGUUGCCUAGCAACAAGCUAGCGGCACGCCAGACGCACGUGCAUACGUCAUGCGCCAGACAAGCCGCAGGAGUGAGCGAGGCCGGCUGCGCAUGUGAAGCGCGCGUGCUCGGCGACCCGUCUCUUUUGGAUGUAGCCCGUUUUUUGGGCUCCCGGCGUUCUCUUGUGUUCCGUCUGCAUUUCGACACGGCACCGCUGCACUACUAGACUAGAGCAAGGUUACGCAUGCAGCAAAUUCCCAGGUGCUAAAGUGUUCUACGUCAAGAGCACCACGGCGUCGUGCAAGAGACACCCGUUGAUAUGCGGCUGAUUUACUAGCAAGCUCGCAUCUCUAUUGCCACUCUCCAUCAAGUGGGAUUUUAAACUAUUUUUGUGCUGCUCUGUGGUGUACUAGCUGCCGCAUGGACGCUGUGAAGGCUCACUUUCGAUUUGCUCUGGCGUUUAGUAGUAAAGGAUGCGCUACCAUUUUAGGGGACGCAUUUACUUUUGUUUGUGAGAAUGUUUACCAGCCUAACCAAGUGAUACGUGCGUACUGUAAACAGCAGCACGAACAGAGGUGGACGACGGACGACGAAAUAAGUAGGAGCACACACGAGCGCAAGCUCAACUAAAAGUACACUUUUGAUGACAGAGUUUUUAAAGACACUGGUCAACUUGACAAAGGUAUAAAGCCGUGCAUGCGUAGCAGAAACAGCCACGUGCGACAAGAAAAAAAUAUGAAAAAGCCAUGUCAUGUAGAAUAAACGUGCAUGAAAAACGAGAACUAUCGGACAAAUCUUUCGAAAAAGCGAAAUAUUUGUCUGAUAAGUGAUACUACCCAACGAAAAAUACUCUUUUGAGAACUGCAACUUUUUACCACUAAGGGAAACAGAUAACUUGGUUAUGCAUUUGUUUCGUUUGUGAUCAAUAAGUAUUACUUCUGGAACUCCUCUGGUGUGGCGGUAUAGAGCUGAAACAACGAUUGUUUCAUCACAAAGACCAGAACACAAGAGGAGUUAUGGAAGCUGUAUUUAUUGAUCACAAAUAAAAAUUUAUAAGCAAGAUUUCUGUGACCCUUAGUGGGAAAGAGUUGCUGCGUUACUUCUCGUUAGUAUCACUUACAGGACAAAUUUCUCAGUUUUCAAGUUUUUGUUAGUUUUGACGCCCAUGUUUAUUCUACAGGACGUCUUUCGGUCCUUUUUUGUUGUGCCGGGCUGUUUCUGCUGCGCAUCCAUGGCUUUUUCUUUGUGAAGUUGGCCAGUGUGUUUAAAAUCUUCGUCAUCACGAAUAAACUUCUAGUCGAGUGAGCGUUCAUGUGUGUUCCUACUUUAAUUCAUCCUUCUCGCCUCUGUUCGGGUGGUUGUCGAAUAUAAAUGUUCACCAAAUUGGCGAAGUGUCCAUAGAAUCGAUACAUGAAGUUAUUUGCGCUGUUUAUUUCAGGAAGAACGCUAUACGGUCUUCUUUGUUUAUAACAUUGAUAUACAUUUUUCUAGUUCAACUUCAAGGAGUCCCCUGAGGAAGCCAAUAAGAGUGAUAUCUUCCUUUGUGUGUAAGACAUGAAUUUCAUCCAUUCAAGGCAUGACAUGCCACAUGCCUGUUUGUAGGUAUGCAAGCAUUCGUAGUUUUUAAAAAUACUAAGCUCUACUUUUCGGUUCUCAUGCCGCUGCUUUGUACUGUGCUGCAUUCUCCAGACGCAGGAACCUUUUUUAUGCGGUAGGUACAUGUGUUCGUUUUGUAUAUAUUGGAGAAAAAAUUGUCGUGAGCUUAAAUAUGCAUAUAUAUCAUUGUAAUUUUUUUUUCAACACAGGUGCUGUGUCUUCCUCCGUCUUUGUGACUGCUUUGUCCCAAUUUUUAUGCAACUUUUUCGUAUUUUAUGCAAUAAAAUUCUGGUAGCAUUUUAAUAACAUUUUACCUGCGCAAUUGAGUCACUGGUAUUUCGUAUACGCAUUUAUUUGCGUUUUUCACUGUCUCACCAGGCUGUCCAGUCAUUGGAACCUUUUCUCAUCCUUUGUGACUGUUUCUGGAGUUCUUGAUACUGCAAGUGCAGGUGACCAUUUAUUUGGCAGUUUGGAAUUGUUAGCCGUGUGUUACUACCAAUUUUCGAUGCUAAAUAAUUAUUUUUUCUCUUAUCGUUCAAGGUAUUAGCCUUGCCUUAUGUCUUUAUUGACUGAGGUACCACUUAGUUGCAGGGUAUAGGGAAAAAGGCCCUAAAAAGUGCUCUAAUUAGCUUUGUGCAAGUCCAGAAAAAUUACCUGAAAUUGAGCUCACAAAAUUGAGGAAAUGCCACCAACAAACUCUUCUGUACCCCAAAUUAACAUAAUCAAAUGGUGUACUGUUUGUUCUUGACUUGUGCCAGGGAGAUAGGCUGCAUUAAUUACACAAAACUUUUACAAGUUUAUUUGUGAAGAAAGCAAACCUGGCUCGUCAGAAACAUAUAAUUCAGGUGUUCACCAUGCCCGACAACUUUCUAGAUGAUGUAUCGUCAAUUAAUGGCUAAGUUGAAUGAUGUUAUUUUAUAAAAUAAAUGGGCAACAUGAAAAUAUAUACAUCUCGAAGACAAGAAGCUCACGCAAGUCUACUUUGGUACUCCAUUAAAUUUUAAUCGCGGUGAAAGACGUGUGCUAAAGCUUGUAUAUAUUUACGUGAGGUCAUUUGUUCUAGGACACUGGUCCAGACGGGUUUCGGCUCUCAAGGCCUUAAGGGCUUUGCUCAAGUUCUUAAGGACAUGUGAAUUGUGCAAACGCCUUUGACUAUUGUUGCGCGUAACAUCGCGUUACUGUGUGCAUUUUUCUCGUUUUUUUUUUCUUCUCUCUCCUUCUCCUUUUAUUCCCUUUACCCCUUUCCUCAGCACAGGGUAGCCAGCCGGUAUUUACACUGGCUAACCUCCCUGUCUUUCCUUCCCUUUUGUCUCUCUUUCUCUCUUGUUUCAAGUCUGUUAUUUUGCCUUCUCACAGUCAGCCGUAGCUCUUCCUGUGAUGUGUUAGUGUGCGAAACAUUUUAACGUAACAUAUUCAGAUGUCUUUUGUGUGUUCACAUGCAAGCAGCUUCAAGUGUUCAUGUGUUCAAUGUUGGUUGUUACAAGGAUAUACUUAAGCCCUGCCUUUUGAGUCGCUUUGCCUUCUAGUCAUAAACUUAAGCCGGAAGUGACGACCACGAUGAUCGUUUUAAUUGAAUUCAUAUGUAUAGGUUUUUUCAGAUAUAUUUACAAUGCUAGAGUGCUGUAGGUACUAGCCUAUGUCUGCAGGUUCUAUGUAGUGGUGCCUUAUGUACUGUAAUAAUGUUUCAUGUGCACGCAUCUUUCGUGUGAAUAAACGUACUUCAAAUUGA